UUUCAAGGAUUCACAUUAAAAUAACAUCUUCAGUAAUUCAAAAAUAAUGCUGAGAAUGCUGACUUGGCUUCUGACAGAGAUGCAUUCCUCUGGAUUGGUGCCCCAGCCUUGAGGAUGCCACUCAGCAGCUUGAGCUCUCAUCCACUGACAAGUUGGGCUGAGCAUACAAGGUCACGGUUGCUGAGUACGUGCCACCUAGCAGGGCUCCACAUUGCUCCAAUAAGCACGUCUGAGAAUCAGAGGACGAAAAAGAUGAUGAGGAAAGGACACAAAGGAUUCUGUUUCUACAGAGUCCUGUAGAAAUUCAUCCAAGAAGGGAAGCUUUUGAUUCUUGUGUCAGCAAGCACACAUUUGUUGUGAUUUUCAAGCAAGUGAAUAGCAUUUCUUCAUCAAAGCAUUUGUA